CCUACGGGAGGCAGCAGUGGGGAAUUUUGGACAAUGGGGGCAACCCUGAUCCAGCAAUGCCGCGUGAGUGAAGAAGGCCUUCGGGUUGUAAAGCUCUUUUGUCAGGGAAGAAACGGUGGGGGUUAAUACCUUCUGCUAAUGACGGUACCUGAAGAAUAAGCACCGGCUAACUACGUGCCAGCAGCCGCGGUAAUACGUAGGGUGCAAGCGUUAAUCGGAAUUACUGGGCGUAAAGCGUGCGCAGGCGGUUGUGCAAGACCGAUGUGAAAUCCCCGGGCUUAACCUGGGAAUGGCAUUGGUGACUGCACGGCUAGAGUGUGUCAGAGGGGGGUAGAAUUCCACGUGUAGCAGUGAAAUGCGUAGAGAUGUGGAGGAAUACCGAUGGCGAAGGCAGCCCCCUGGGAUAACACUGACGCUCAUGCACGAAAGCGUGGGGAGCAAACAGGAUUAGAUACCCUGGUAGUCCACGCCCUAAACGAUGUCUACUAGUUGUCGGGUCUUCAUUGACUUGGUAACGCAGCUAACGCGUGAAGUAGACCGCCUGGGGAGUACGGUGCAAGAUUUAAAAACCNGAAAGUAAUGACGACGUGAGACGNGCGAGACGACGACGAGGAGAGG
rnacentral:rRNA from 1 species